UACAGAGGGUGCGAGCGUUGUCCGGAAUCACUGGGCGUAAAGGGCGCGUAGGUGGCGGCCCAAGUCUGUGGUGAAAGCUCGAUGCUUAACAUCGAGUCGGCCACGGAGACUGGGUGGCUCGAGCACUGUAGGGGCAGAUGGAAUUCCGGGUGUAGCGGUGGAAUGCGCAGAUAUCAGGAGGAACACCAAUAGCGAAGGCAGCUCGCUGGGACGGUACUGACGCUAAGGCGCGAAAGCGUGGGAGCGAACAGG
rnacentral:rRNA from 1 species